rnacentral:rRNA from 1 species
CAAUAGCGUAUAUUAAAGUUGUUGCAGUUAAAAAAGCUCGUAGUUGGAUUUCUGGCCGAGUGUCCCUAGGCCAGCAUGACGUUUGGUCCUAGGCGCUCUGCCAUCCUUCUGUCAACCUUCGCCUUCUUCAUUGGGGCGCUGGGGCUCAGAUAUUUUUACCUUUGAGAAAAUUAGAGUGUUUCAGGCAGGCUUUCGCCGGAAUACAUUAGCAUGGAAUAAUGGAAUAGGACUUUGGUGCUAUUUUGUUGGUUUAUGGGACCGAAGUAAUGAUUAACAGGGACAGUUGGGGGCCCGUUUAUAUUUUCGUUGUCAGAGGUGAAAUUCUUGGAUUUACGAAAGAUAAACUUCUGCGAAAGCAUUCGGCAAGGAUGUUUUCAUUGAUCAAGAACGAAAGUU